rnacentral:rRNA from 1 species
UAGGGAAUCUUCCGCAAUGGGCGAAAGCUUGACGGAGCAACGCCGCGUGUGUGAUGAAGGUCUUAGGAUCGUAAAACUCUGUUAUUAGGGAAGAACAAAUGUGUAAGUAACUAUGCACGUCUUGACGGUACCUAAUCAGAAAGCCACGGCUAACUACGUGCCAGCAGCCGCGGUAAUACGUAGGUGGCAAGCGUUAUCCGGAAUUAUUGGGCGUAAAGGGUACGUAGGCGGGUAAGCAAGUUAGAAGUGAAAUCCUGUAGCUCAACUACAGUAAGCUUUUAAAACUGCUCAUCUUGAGAUAUGGAAGGGAAAGUGGAAUUCCUAGUGUAGCGGUGAAAUGCGCAGAUAUUAGGAGGAAUACCGGUGGCGAAGGCGACUUUCUGGCCAUAAUCUGACGCUGAGGUACGAAAGCGUGGGUAGCAAACAGG